GAAGGCGCUCUGCUGGGCCAUCACUGACGCUCAUGGACGAAAGCCAGGGGAGCGAAAGGGAUUAGAUACCCCUGUAGUCCUGGCCGUAAACGAUGAACACUAGGUGUCGGGGGAAUCGACCCCCUCGGUGUCGUAGCCAACGCGUUAAGUGUUCCGCCUGGGGAGUACGCACGCAAGUGUGAAACUCAAAGGAAUUAACGGGGGCCCGCACAAGCGGUGGAGUAUGUGGUUUAAUUCGAUGCAACGCGAAGAACCUUACCAGGGUUUGACAUCCUGCGAAUUUCUUGGAAACAGGAGAGUGCCUUCGGGAACGCAGUGACAGGUGGUGCAUGGCUGUCGUCAGCUCGUGUCGUGAGAUGUUGGGUUAAGUCCCGCAACGAGCGCAACCCACGUCUUUAGUUGCCAGCAUUUAGUUGGGCACUCUAGAGAGACUGCCGGUGAUAAACCGGAGGAAGGUGUGGAUGACGUCAAGUCAUCAUGCCCCUUACAUCCUGGGCUACACACGUACUACAAUGCUACGGACAAAGGGCAGCAAGUUCGCGAGGACAAGCAAAUCCCAUAAACCGUGGCUCAGUUCAGAUCGUAGGCUGCAACUCGCCUACGUGAAGGCGGAAUCGCUAGUAAUCGCAGGUCAGCAUACUGCGGUGAAUACGUUCCCGGGCCUUGUACACACCGCCCGUCACACCAUGGAAGUUGGCCACGCCCGAAGCCGUUACUCCAACCCUUGUGGAGGAGGACGUCGAAGGUGGGGCUGAUGACUGGGGUGAAGUCGUAACAAGGUAACCGUA
rnacentral:rRNA from 1 species